UACGUAGGGGGCAAGCGUUGUCCGGAAUCAUUGGGCGUAAAGCGCGUGUAGGCGGCUUGGUAAGUCUGCUCUGAAAGCCCGGGGCUCAACCCCGGGAGGCGGGUGGAUACUGUCAAGCUCGAGUCCGGAAGAGGAGUGUGGAAUUCCUGGUGUAGCGGUGAAAUGCGCAGAUAUCAGGAAGAACACCCGUGGCUAAGGCGGUUCUCUAGUACGGUACUGACGCUGAGACGCGAAAGCGUGGGGAGCGAACAGG
rnacentral:rRNA from 1 species